rnacentral:misc_RNA from 1 species
GAUGAAGAACGUAGCGAAAUGCGAUAAGUAAUGUGAAUUGCAGAAUUCAGUGAAUCAUCGAAUCUUUGAACGCACAUUGCGCCCGCCAGUAUUCAGGCGGGCAUGCCUGUUCGAGCGUCAUUACAACCCUCAGGCCCCCGGGCCUGGCGUUGGGGAUCGGCGGAGCCCCCCGUGGGCACACGCCGUCCCCCAAAUACAGUGGCGGUCCCGCCGCAGCUUCCAUCGCGUAGUAGCUAACACCUCGCGACUGGAGAGCGGCGCGGCCACGCCGUAAAACACCCAACUCUUCUGAAGUUGACCUCGAAUCAGGUAGGAAUACCCGCUGAACUUAAGCAUAUCAAUAAGCGGAGGA